rnacentral:rRNA from 1 species
AGGAUUAACGCUGGCGGCGUGCAUGAAACAUGCAAGUCGAGCGCGGUGUGAUGAGGGGUAACCCAAUUCACAUCUAGCGGCGAACGGGUGAGUAACACGUGAGCAACCUACCUUUGAGUUGGGGAUAGCCCUGGGAAACCAGGAUUAAUACCCGAUGUGGUCACAACAGGACAUCCUGAUGUGAGUAAAGGCGUAAGCCGCUCAAUGACGGGCUCGCGGCCUAUUAGCUUGUUGGUGGGGUAACGGCCUACCAAGGCGAUGAUGGGUAGCUGGUCUGAGAGGACGAUCAGCCACACUGGACUGAA